GAUGAACGCUGGCGGCGUGCCUAAUACAUGCAAGUCGAGCGAACAGACGAGGAGCUUGCUCCUCUGACGUUAGCGGCGGACGGGUGAGUAACACGUGGAUAACCUACCUAUAAGACUGGGAUAACUUCGGGAAACCGGAGCUAAUACCGGAUAAUAUAUUGAACCGCAUGGUUCAAUAGUGAAAGACGGUUUUGCUGUCACUUAUAGAUGGAUCCGCGCCGCAUUAGCUAGUUGGUAAGGUAACGGCUUACCAAGGCAACGAUGCGUAGCCGACCUGAGAGGGUGAUCGGCCACACGGGAACUGAGACACGGUCCAGACUCCUACGGGAGGAAGCAGUAGGGAAUCUUCCGCAAUGGGCGAAAGCCUGACGGAGCAACGCCGCGUGAGUGAUGAAGGUCUUCGGAUCGUAAAACUCUGUUAUUAGGGAAGAACAAAUGUGUAAGUAACUAUGCACGUAUUGACGGUACCUAAUCAGAAAGCCACGGCUAACUACGUG
rnacentral:rRNA from 1 species